AUGGAAUCUGGAUCCAUGGAUGGGUCUCUCUCAGUUGAACUUGGAGCAGACCUUCCUGACCUCCCCGCUGGCGCCGGUGAGCACGCCGAUGCUGCCCAUCUUCACCAUGGAGUCCGCGAAGUCCUGCCGGAAGUAGGGCCCGAAGAUGGUGCUGAGGAGGCCCGAGUAGGAGUCCACCACGUCGACGGUGCUGGUGUCGUUGUAGAGCGCGGCGUCGGAGGCGAUCACCGCGAAGCCGUUGCGGAUGUUGCGGAGGAUGGAGGUGUCGAACACGCGCUCGCUGCCGCGGUCCAGGGAGACGCGCGAGUUGGAGUCCCCCGGCGCGCACCGGGACUUGAGCUCCGACAGGAAGCCGUCCGGGAUCGACGGAUCUGA
rnacentral:rRNA from 1 species